CGAAUCCUUCGGGGUAGGGUGAAAUUCCCAACCGGCGGUGAUGAAGAAUAGAAAACUUCUAAGCCCGUGACCCGGCACUUUUUAGUGACGGUGGAUACUGGUGCAAAACCAGAGCCGACAGUAUAGUCUGGAUGGGAGAAGGAAUUA
rnacentral:ncRNA from 2 species